AAACUUCAGCAGCAUCUCCUCCUCCUGUCCUGUGUCUUCAACGAUCACUGUAACGAUUUUUUACUUCUUCGCUCCAAAAAGAGAAUGGCUUUACACUCCACUCUCUCCUCUCCUUCUCCAACUUUACAGCUACCACCACUCUUUUCUUCGACUCGUCCACUUAAGUCUCGAGCUCUGCUCCUCAAUUUGAACUCAUUUACAAAUUCUGCCACUCGCUCUCUCCGCCUCCUCUCCACCCGCCGUCUCUCUCCGGUUACCGCGGCAGUCUCUGCUGCAGAAACCACAGGCUCCACUGGAACCGAUUCAGGGGAGAAAAAACCGUUGUUCGAAGUCAAAGACUUGACCGCUGUGAUUGCUGAGUCGAAACAGGAGAUUCCUAAAGGCGUAAACGUUCUGGUUUAUGAAGGCGAGGUUCACGCUAUUAUGGGAAAAAUGGGUCUGGUAAGAGCACAUUUUCAAAGUAACAGGAAGGAGUGUAGUGUUUAAAGGUGAGAACUUGCUUGAUAUGGAGCCAAAAGAAAGGUCAUUUGCUGGGCUUUUAUGAGUUUUCAGUCACCAGUUGAGAUUCCUGGUGUUAACAAUAUUGAUUUUCUUAAUAUGGCUUAUAAUGCACGGAGACGGAAACAUGGUCUGCCUGCACUUGGACCUAUUUAGUUCUAUGCUUAUUUGUUUCCAAAACUUGAGCUUGUGAACAUGAAGAGUGAUUUUCUCAAUAGAAAUGUGAAUGGAGCGGUGGUGAAAGAAAGUUGAAUGAGAUUUCACAACUUGCGAUCCAUUUCUGGCAAGAAGGAUUAUGAUGUAAUUUCUCUUAAUGAAGAGGCUUCUCGUUUUUACAAAAUCUGCAGACCCUGCUAUCGAAUGAAGAGGCUUCUCUUGUGUUUCCUGAUCUCAAGGUUUUAGAUUGAUUUACACAGUGUUAUAGAGUAGCUACAACUAAAAAAAAAAACCAUGCCUGUUUCCUGUCAUUUACCAAUGAAUUACAUGGCUGGCGCUGCUUUGAAGGAUCGUUUCUUUUUCUCCGGUUCUUUAGAAUUUUUCAACUCUUGGACAUUUCAUUCAGUUUAUGCAUAUUUAAAAGUCUGCAGACAUCCUAUUUAGCCAAAGAAAGUGUGCAUUCAUCUCCAUGUUGAUCAAACUGUAAUUCCAUCGAGCAAGAUUCUGAUCACUUGUGCUUUAUUUGCGCUCUUUGGCAUUGAUUUGUGGUAUUGGUUUUACCAUUCUAAGCCAAUCCCAGUCACAGCUUUAGGUCCACUCCCUCAGUUACCACAGUUCACAAUGUCUGGCUGUGUUAUUGCUCUAAUCCCAGUCUAUCAGCCCAGACCAACUGGUUCUCAUGCUGUGCAACACUAUCUGUUCGGAACAGACAACUGCUAGCUUCAACAGUAAGAACUGCGAGAGACAGGAGAGAUUAAGAGUCUGUCUUGUACGAAAAUCAAACAUUAAAAGGAUGUUGGGUCAUGAUUUGCCACGAGUUCUGGUUGAGGGAUGUGGUUCUUAAUACUCGCGUCUCGGCACCUUGAGAUAAUCUCCAUGGAUAAAUGUCUAUGCUUUACUAUGUUCUUGGUAAUAUCUUGGACUGGGUUGUUUUCCUUGAGAUAUUAUCUUUGUAGAUAAUAUAUUUUUAAACCCAUGGGUUUUGGGUGAGCAUCA